AACAAGGCGUACCUGCGGACCUGCGGAGGGAUCAUUAAUAAAUGUUACUUCGGUAACUUAAUUAAUCCCUAACACCUGUGCAUCUUGUCGCUUCGGCGUCAUUUUAUAAACAUCAGUGUAAUGAAUGUAACGUAUUAUAACAAAUACAACUUUCAACAACGGAUCU
rnacentral:misc_RNA from 1 species